rnacentral:lncRNA from 1 species
CUUAAAGAAGAAAUAGUAACUCUCUUAAAAAAAAAAAAAAGAAAGAAAGAAAAAAAAAAAACCUUUUAAAAUCCCUGGUGUCCUCUGGGCGUGGCGAAUUUUUAAGUGCUUCACAACAAGAUUGUGCGCACCCUUGCUUCUGAACACUGACCCGUCAGACUUCCUGUCCAGCAUCCUGUCACUUCCAAGUCCUCCCUGGCUCUACCUGGAGGUUGAGGAAAUGACGGCGUCUGGCUUGGACUUCAAAGCCUUGUAGAAAAGAAACACAGGUUCUUCACAAGCUAGGAUCUAGUUUACAGAACAAAGCCCCUGUUCUGGGUGUUUGUGGGAGAGUCUAGGAGAGGCAACAAGUGAGCGCGUUAGAAACAUCUAUCUUGGAGUCAUACUGUCUUGGCUCAAAUCCUUCCACUAUUUAUGAAGAGCAGAGCACAUUUCUUAACUCUCCUGCCUCUUGGGUAAAAUGAAGGUGGUGAGCACAGUACUUGUGAAUUUGGAGUGAGUUUAGUUCCCAGUAGAUGAGUACAGGGCCUCAUGUUGCACUGUAAUGACUCAUGGGCUGCUCAAACUGAAAAAAAAAAAAGAGCCCCUUUAGUGGGGGUGAGUCCAGACAAGGCUCAAGGGGGAUAAGUUCAAUAGGACUGUACUGCAAAGAGCUUGGAGACUUAAAUGGACCUCCUUAAACAGGAAGCUAGCAGCCUCCUAUUCCCUUGGCCUCCCUUUUCAAUCCUACUCGGGCCCCUCCUUCCAGAGCCCGAUUUAUACAGUAUCACACAUGGUCCCCAAAUGUUGCUCUUUAGUUUCCCUAGUAGUAUGGGGGGUGGGGCUGCCAGUACUCCUGAGCAGGCUGGUUUGCCCCCAAUACUUCAGGGAAAGCAUCUGUCCUUCCCCAAGCACUUGGAGAAUACAGCCUUGUUCGGGCUUGGAAGCUCUGGUGGGAGCAGUAUGGGAAAGUGCCCUGCCUGUGGGGAACCUCCCUCACUGUGGCCUCUAUUUUUAGUGCUUCCCCAGGCUCUAGCUGGAGAAACCGUUUAGUCAUCAGGGUGUUUAUUUUCCGGCUGUUUCCGACGUCGGGAAAAGCAGAAUGUUGAGACUGGAGAGAUUCUGGGCUGCUGUAAAAGACUUCUUAGGAACAGGCCUGGGAACACUGCCUUCAGACCACUGGGUCCCAGCUCAUAGGAAAACAAAACAGGAUGGGCCCGGGACAGCUAAGCCCUCAGGAGUUUUCAACCUGCCUCAACCUUGGAGGCUAUCCAAGCUAGAGAACCCUCUGGCCCAGCUCUAUCUGAGGAUUGUUUCUCAAAACACAACCAAGCCCAGAAGAAAUUCUUUCCCAGAAUCCCCUCCCCAACCUCUCCUAGAUCUGCCUGGUGAGCCUCCCGCCAACCACAGCCCUAGCCAAUCUCAAACCUGAGGCGGGCCUUCCAGAGCUUUGAUUGGUUGGCUGGGCCUUCUAGACCUGGAAUGUUGAGUCCUUAACAAAGGAAUGAGGAAGGAAGGUGAGUCACCUGGGGAAGGUAUUAAAGGACUAGCUAGAAGGAAAAGGAAGGGGGAAGAGCUCCGGGGAGGUGGGGGCCCUGGACGCUAACGUGCUGACGAGACAGCUCACACGAGACCGGACAAGUGGGACAAAAAUCCAGAGUCUGAAAACAUGUUGGAGCAGAAGCGAAGAGGUGACAACGUGAGGUCCUGAUUUCCACAGAGGACCGAAAAGGGCCAAGGCCUUUAAUAAGCAGCUAGACUCCACUGGUCAAGGUACUCGGACCCAGCAGGCUGGAACCUCAGCAGGUUUGUUGUGACAAUGAGCUCCCACAUGUGGCACCUGCUAGCUGCCAGUCUUCUGCCAUUCAUCCUGGUAUGGCCCCACCUCCUGCAGCCCCCUCUUCUAAGAGGAGAUGGAAGCUGAAAUCCUGGUCUUAUAUGCUCCAGACCUAAGCCAGGGCUGACUGCUGAGGGGGGUACACGAAGCUCUGAGAAAGCCUCUUGUUUAGAGAAAGAGUUGGAGACAAAAAGGGUGUAAGUGUUUUUUCUCUUCAUCCUUGCUUUAUGCCACCACACUGCUCACUAGGGCUUGGAGGCUCUCGGACAAGGAAACUUGAAGAUCAUAGAGGCCAAUGAGUACACCCAUGCCCAUCCAGCAACAAGUGGCUGUGGAGCCAGAUGGCCCCUCAUGCCUAGGAUCCCAGCUUUCCCAAGGCUGAGGCAGGAGGACUGCUGAGAAGCCAAAGCUAGUGAGACUGUGUCUCAGAAAACAAAAGGAAAACCCAGAAAGUAGCUGUGGGAUUCCAGUUCCGUACUGCAUGUGAGCAGACAGGAGUGAUAGGGACAGGGAAAAACCAGCUGGGACCUUAUCACUGCUGAGGAAGACAGCCAGCACCCCAUGAUCAUAGUGACAUAUCCAGAGAUGGUGGGGGGCAAGUACUGAGUUUAACAAGUCUUUCUCGAUGGGCGUUGGUGGGGCACGCCUUUAAUCCCAGCACUCGGGAGAGGCCAGCCUGGUCUCCAGAGCAAGUGCCAGGAUAGGCUCCAAAGCUACACAGAGAAACCCUGUCUUGAAAAACAACAACAAAAACAAACAAACAAAAAACAAACAAACAGCUCCCACCAGCUCCCUAAUAAUGACAUGGAGACUUCUUAUUAAUUAUGAAAGCCCGGUCUAUAGCUUAGGCUUGUUUUUAACAAGUUCUUAAAACUUAAAUUACAUUAGCCCAUCUGUAUUGAUCUACAUUCUAUCACAUGACUCAUGGUUGUCACCUCUCUUCCCGCACAUCCUGCUUGCUCUGUGUCUCUAUCUUUCCCUUCCCAGAGUCCUCUGUGUUCCCAGAAGUCCCACCUGUACCUCCUGUCUAGGUAUUGACCAUUUAGCUCUUUAUUACACCAAUCAUAGCAAUACCUCUUCACACAGUGUACAAAUACCCCGUAUCACUGAAGCAUACUUAGAACGAGACCUUACAAGCACAUGGUGAAGGUGUCACCAAGAAAAAACAAAAAAGAAGGGCGGAAUGAUUGCUGCUCUUCCAGAGGACUGGAAUAAUUCAGUUCCCAGUAGCCAGGUCAUAUGUGGUGGUUUGAAUGAGAACUGUCUCUAUAGGUUCAUAUAUUUGAACGCUUGGUCCCCAGCUGGUGGAACUGUUUGGGAAGGAUUAGGAGGUGUGGCCUUGUUGGAGGAGGUGUGUCACUGGGGGUGGGCUUUGAGGUUUCAAAAGCCCACAGCAUUCCCAGUUAGGACUCUCUCUCUGCCUGGUACUUGUGGAUCAAGAUAUAAGCUCUCAGUUACUGCCCCAGCACCAUGCCUGCCUGUUGGCUGCAAUACUGCCUGACAUGAUGGUCAUGGACACACUCUCUGAAACUGUAAGCCCAAUAAACUCUUUCUUCUCUACGUUUCCUUGGUCAUGGUGUCUUCACAACAAUAGAAAGGUAAGAUAUUGGGGCUGGAGAGAUGGCUCAGAGGUUAAGAGCACUGGCUGAUCUUCCAGAGGUCCUGAGUUCAAGUCCCAGCAAACAGAUCUGGUGCCCUCUUCUGGCAUAUAGGCAUAUAUACAGACAGAACACUG